CUAUACUACUGUCAGUCAAUCUAUAGAUAUUUGCCAAUGAUGCCAGGAGACACAUUGAACAGUUGUUUGCCACAUCAAGGAAAUCUCUUGACUCUCCCCUCAGAAGACUUGUCCGAUGGAACAGUCCAUGGUAAUUGACCUAAAUAGCCCACAAAACUAGAACACUUUCCAUACCAAGUUCCCAGUUACAACAUAUUUCACAGUCCUACUGCCACCACACUUUCAGGACAUGGAGCCAAGAAUUCUGCCUCGUUAGCAAACUUCAUCCUCCUCACUGUCAGUUCUAAAGCUCUAAGGACUAUCAUCUUGCUAUCUCCCAAACACAACAUUCUUUCCUUGUCUUCCUUCUCUGCCCAGUGAACUGUCCACAUAGCAAUGGCCCAACCCUACACCCCUGGUAUGUGGCCCAUACUUUGCUUACCUUCUCCAGCUGAGAAGCCAUGGCCUGGACAACAGGAGUUGGGAGGACUGCAAAGUGACUCCAGGUGCAAGGCACCUUGGUUACAGUAAAAGGGCGUGGGAGGGCUUAGCAACAGAUGUCAGGUGCCAGACAUGUCUCAGAACUGGUGGUAGCUAGCAAUCUCUGAACAGGCACUGGGACUGGGAGGACUUGUAGGUGUCAUCUGGGUAUUAGAUACCAGUGGGAUGCUUUCAAAACAGCCUCUCUAGAUGUCAGAAGGUCUGUAGACAAGACAUACAGUCUCUAAUAAGACUUCUUAGGACCCUUCGACCCAACUACUAGGGGAAAGCCAGAUUCUCUGCUCUGUUGCUUAGAAGCUUCUAAUUUGGCUUGCUAGAAAUGCUUUCAAAUGACAUGUCCAAAUCGACAUUACAUCACAAUAAUUUCUUUUCUCUCUUAGUGCAAGUUUCCUAAACAAUGCACACCUUGGUUUGGGUACAUGAAAACCGUUAUAUGUACAUGUAUGGAACUGCUAUGAAUGACAAGAGUCCGAAGUUCUCAAACAAACACUGACAGAAACACUUAUCAUUAGGUCCCAAAUAUCAACAGAGAACAGGGCUCAGUUGCCACAAUGGUUAUUUUUCUUUCAACCUUCCACACCUCACCUUUCAUUUCAUGUUUAGUCUUUUUGACUUGAAGGUCACCAGUUCAAGGAUGUCUGGUGUGCUGACUUCAACAUUUUCUACAGGAAGAUUCUGUUACAUUCUCAAUUUACUCUUAAUCUGCCAACUUAAAAGGUCAUCUACUUUAUAAAACUCAUUACCACUUACACGCCCCCUUCAUAUACUAGAGAGCCCGCAAAGAGAUAAGGCCAAAACAUAAUACACAGAAAGCUUUAGCUAACACUCAAAGGUGUUGACCGGCUCUUAGUGUAUCAGACUUGGGUCUUGAACCUCUAAAGUGCUGGGCUUUGAUAUUGCCGACAUGCCACAUGGCAAAGGCUGUUGGGGCUCUCCACCUCCUCUUGCUGAAGUCUGUGUACAGAAAAGGAGCAGACUUAAAAUACACAAAAUGUCACCGGUUAGCCGGUCUGAUACAGAAGUCGCCACGGGAGACAGUUCCGGGCACCCGGUACCCUUGCUGUAUUUGGAAGAGGCGACACUUCCCACUGGACUGCACAUUGCCAUUCAGGAAUUUUCGUUUCUUUGCAUUUGCCUUUCCAUGGUCCCGUAGAAUUUUCUUAUGAUAUAUAUGUGUACAACCUUAAUCAAAUAAUUAUAACUUUUCUGUUUAAAGGAUUUGAAAUUUGUUACAAAAGGUCAUAUUUCACAAUUUUGGACUUGUGAUGAAAUGAUAUGACCUGUUAGCUCAAGUGACAUUCCCCAGGUAUACCCAAGUUAAGCCAAGUUCAAAUCCUAGAUUAGCAAAAGAGCAAGUCCAAAUGCUUUGCAGGGUUACUGUGGACUUCAUAAAGUAACCCAACACCUCAGCAAAAAAUUCCCUUGGUGUUGAACGAUUUAUGAGCCAAAAAACACCAGCAGUACACUGCAACUUUAUCGCAUUUUCCACCACUUCAAAGGACUUGAGGGUUUCAAGGGCACUGUUGAAAUCACACGAGGCAGGCUCCUUGCCUGCCCUUAUGUCUACCUCCCUAUCUUCGAUAUGCCGAAGGCUCAUUAUAGCCAGACCAGAUAGGCUCCAAUCGGAAAACAACUGGCCCCUAUUGGCCCGAUAAGGGUCCGCUCUAGGUAAACACACUAAAAUAAUGACUUCUCUGUCCUCAUCAGGGCUGCUUGAUAAUGCAUAUCCAGUCAAGUUCAAAAGUCAAACUUGUUGAAGUUCAAAGAGACUUCGGGAGGCAGGCUAUUCUUUCAGCAAACAAGGAAAAUGUCAACAGUGGAGUCUGAACACUGCUGGCCAGAAGACCCCAGGGAUAACUGUGGAACUGCCCCUGGGUCAGGAGCGCAUGAUGAAAGGCUAGUGACAACAGGUGAAGAUAUUCAUAUUACUCUCAUAGGCACUCACUAUGAUAUGUGAUAUGUUCAAUCAUUUUAAACCUAAUUAAUAGGGCAAGGGGAAAUGUUGAUUCUAAAGUUACCUUCCUGGGCAAUCUACUUUUCUAAAGCUGCUCUUAUGAAAUUGAAGCCAACUUCAAAGGCAUUGAAAAUAUGCAUAGAGAACUAGCUUAAUGUGAUACAUUGAGAUUACAUAGAGAUUAGGUUAUGAUACAGUCCUUUUUGUUACGCUCCACAAAAUGUUCUCAUUUACCAUACUGUAUUAUCAACAUCAUUUUAAGGAUAGUUCCUCAGUACAAAACCAAACCAACACUCCAUAAAUGUCUCGCUGCCAUUCUUAACACCUUUCCUGCAUGGAUAGGCCCAGAAAUACCAGCUGACUGAAAAGGUUGUGCAGCAGCUAAUGGAGCACCUGGGAGACCCACCUGCCCACAAAACAUCCCAUUGCCAGGUGUCGCCACCUUACUUUCAGCAGCCAACAGGAAUGAUGAAGGGGCUCCAACAGUAAAGUCUUUUUGUCUCUGCCCUUUUCAACAGUUAUCUUUCCAUACUGGUUUAUGACACUGGCACAUAUUAAGGCCAGUCUGGUGCCUGACUGUCUGGAGUUGGGGGUUGAGUUGUCUCCUCUUGAGUCAAGUAAGCUGAGAGUCCAAUACUUCAAGUCGGCACAUCAAAGGUUACCCAGCUCACCCCUACAACAGCCAACAGCCAAAGGUCCCCAAAGAUCAUCAUGAUUUUGCAAUAAUGACUCCUAUGACUAACAAGGCACCUGUUCUUAUAGAGAAUGACCUGAUACACUUUUUUGUUUUCUUUCAACUUUCUGUUUCAGACCAAAUUUAGCAUGAAAAUGGUUCAAAACAAUCUUCUUUGAAUUAUUGACCAUUGCCAUCCAGACCAUAACUAAAUCAUCAAUGGUCUAUCCUACCAUUAACUGAAGGCCAUCUCUGCAGUUGACAAGUCAAAAAGGUUUGUAAAUACCAUUGUUCAGAAAAGCAAUGUCUAUGGCUCUUUUUUUUGUAGCAGACUUCAAGGAGAUCCAUGAAAUGUUUUUCCUGAUUGCAGACACAUCAAAUCUGGACAUCAAAGGGACUGGGGAAAAACCUCACAACAUAUUACCAAAGCAUAUUCACUCAGGUCUUAAAUGGAACAAAGGUGUUUUCUUAGCAGAGAUAUGAAAUGAAAGAUAAACAGUUCAGGUAUGGGGAUGUUUUACCUACAAUUGAACCCUGCUUUUGGUCUUAUCACUGGGUAAUAUCUUCCAGAUGAUUCUAUGGUUACAAGAUUCUGGCAUUCAAUGGACUCAUUGAGCGCAUGUAACCUAGAUCUUGUCAGCUUGUAACAAUGGUACAAUUACAACCAAAUCUUCAGACAAUCUGUAAUGUCUUUUGAAUGUGUUAUCCAAAAUGUGUGCUUUAGUGUAAAGAUAAGGAGUAUUUUGUUUUCCCCUUGGAUUGAGAAAAACACUGCAUUUACAUUGUGCAUACUUAGGCAUUAUUGGGACAUAUGCAUGCAUAGGUUAACAGUGGUCACUUCUCACAGGCCCAUUCCAUAUUGCAAUUUCGAUAAACCAAAAGCAAUACCAAAAGAAUACCUAAAUGAAACUUUUAGUAUUUUCCUACAUUUAUCGGUUCUGUUUUCCAUAAUGACUGCCAAAUUACAUACAGGACCUGCUGUCCUCGUAAGGGUGGGAGUUGUUACAAUUCCAAACAGGAAAAUGCUAAUUGAAAUCCCAAAGGGCCUCUCCUGCCUUUAGUAAUUAGAUGGAGCAACAAAAUUAUCUGUUCCUUGUCUGUCUCCACCCAUGUCUACAAGUCCUAAUUGCCAAAAAUCACCUCAAACGCCAGUGAUGAAAGGAACCGACAGGUGACAGGGAAUCUGGGGAUCAAAGGUGUCAGUCUCGGGAAGUACACUACCAACAGACCAUACAGGAUUACAGGGAUUACACCAGAGAGGAGAGACAACAGCAGUAUGGAACAUAAAAAGUCAGUGAGAUGGGAAAAGAAGAACUGAGAAAUUCUACAAUGAGAAAUCAAGGGAACAUAGGAUGGAGAAAUGGAUAGGAUUGAGUGAGGAAAAGAAGAGGCAAAAGCAAAAGCUGCAAAGAGAAGGAGGAAGGAAAUGUGAGGGGGAGGAAGGAAGAAUGGAAGGUCGGGAAGGAUUAGAUAUGGUUUCACAACCUUGGUGUACAGAAUUGUUUCUUUGUACCACAGGAUUAUGUCAUCCCCCUUACAAUUCCCAUCCAUAGGUCACCAGUUGCAAAUGAAGUCCCAGCCCAGAUCAGGUGCCAGGCCAUCUCAUAUGGUCCCUUCAGCCUUGAUGCAGCCUAAAUGGGACCCAGCGUAACCUGGUACUCAUUCCAUAGGUCACCAGCAGACAAGCUAUGCACUGUCUAUCCUUACUCACAUGUCACGCUACCUGCAACCUGGUAAACAGCUGUAAUGUAAACCAACCUGGCGCUAUUUGGGGUCAAUGUCCUCUAGUGGACAAUACCAGGCUGAACUGCUUUACGACACGAUUUACCAACAAGUACGACAAUGUAAUGAAAAGGUGUCAAGCAUUAUAUCAGUCUAUCAAAUCUUUAUACACUGGAGAAAUUUCAAUACAAUAAAUCAACAACCACCUUUG